rnacentral:tRNA from 1 species
GCCUCGUUGGCUCAGCCCGGCAGAGCGAGUGACUUGUAAUCACUAGGUCGCGUGGCCGGCAACGCAGUUGCGCCUGAGAAUCACGCACGAGGCU